UAGGGAAUCUUCCGCAAUGGACGCAAGUCUGACGGAGCAACGCCGCGUGAGUGAAGAAGGAUUUCGGUUCGUAAAACUCUGUUGUUAGAGAAGAACAGCGCAUAGAGUAACUGUUAUGCGUGUGACGGUAUCUAACCAGAAAGCCACGGCUAACUACGUGCCAGCAGCCGCGGUAAUACGUAGGUGGCAAGCGUUAUCCGGAAUUAUUGGGCGUAAAGCGCGCGUAGGCGGUUUUUUAAGUCUGAUGUGAAAGCCCCCGGCUCAACCGGGGAGGGUCAUUGGAAACUGGUUGACUUGAGUGCAGAAGAGGAGAGUGGAAUUCCAUGUGUAGCGGUGAAAUGCGUAGAUAUAUGGAGGAACACCAGUGGCGAAGGCGACUCUCUGGUCUGUAACUGACGCUGAGGUUCGAAAGCGUGGGUAGCAAACAGG
rnacentral:rRNA from 1 species